ACUCCCUUCUCCCUCCAUCCUAUUUUAAAAACUUUGAUCAUCUAUUUUAUUUAAAUUUUUUUAUAAUUAAUUUUUUAUUGUUAUGAGAUAAUAAAACAUGAAUAGUACUUUAUACGUGACUUAUGUUUUUAAAUUUUUUUCAAAUUUUUUUACAUAAGACGGAUGGUCAAAGUUUUGUGUAUGAAAAAUUAUAGUUGCACUUAAA
rnacentral:pre_miRNA from 1 species